GAAGCUAUUCUAACAAAUGGAGUUAAAUGUGUUGGUAGAGGAAUCUUUACAUCGAAACUUCAGAAAGAAAAAGAAUGAAGUGAAGGAUAAACGUAUAUACAUACGUAUUGAAUACUAUAUCAAAUGAUUAAUGACGACCCGAAUCCCUGAUCAAAUCAUUCACUCCAUAGUCUGAUAGAUCUUUUGAAGAACUGAUUAAUCGGACGAGAAUAAAGAUAGAGUCCCGUUCUACAUGUCAAUACCGGCAACAAUGAAAUUUAUAGUAAGAGGAAAAUCCGUCGACUUUUAAAAUCGUGAGGGUUCAAGUCCCUCUAUCCCCAAAAAGACUAUUUCAACCCCCAACUAUUUCUCCGACCCCCUUUCCUUAGCAGUUCCAAAUUACUUAUCUUUCUCAUUCACUCUAUUCUUUUAGAAAUAGAUUUUUCUUUUAGAAAUGGAUUUUAGCGUAAAUGGCUUUCUCUUAAGCCUUGUGAUAUAUAUGAUACACAUAGAACUGAACAUCUUUGAGCAAGGAAUCCCUAGUUGAAUGAUUACCAAUAUCAUUACUCAAUACUGAAACUUACAAAGUCAUCUUUUUGAAGAUCGAAGAAAUUCCCCGGCUUUGAUAAAAUUUUUUAAUCGACUUUUGUCCUUUUAAUUGACAAAGACCUAUUGACAAAGACCCGUUUAUGUGUUAAGAUCAAAUUUGUUAAGAUAAAAUUAGAGUAACAAGCAGAGAACUGAGUAACAAGCAGAAAACUAAAAAUCCUCAUGUUAACGAACGGUUCCAAUUGGGAAGACCAGAGGACUCUAAAUCCUCCUGUUAACGGGGACUUAAAAUUCUCAUGUUCGAGGUUCCAAUUGGGAUUGGUAUAGCCCUGAAAAUCCUCGGGUUACCAGUCCCAACCUUGAUAAAAAAUCUGGAUUGGGAAUAGCCGGGAUAGCUCAGUUGGUAGAGCAGAGGACUGAAAAUCCUCGUGUCACCAGUUCAAAUCUGGUUCCUGGCACAUGAUUAAUUUGUAUGGGUCUCUCUUCACUAGAAUUAAUUUCUAAUUAAUUGAUAUGAAUCAACAUACAUAUUCUUUUAGAGUCUAGAUUAGAAUAAUAGCUUUAUCCAGUUUGGCGAGAUAUACCCCAUACUAUGUUCUAUAUGGGUAGAGUUUCUUAGAUAAAGUAUCGAAAAGAAUUGGAUUCUAUCUCCUCUUUUUUUUCUCCUCUCGUUCAAACGAAUUUGAAUACGUAAUACAUAUUCGAAAGGUAAAAUUGGUUAAUUGUUGAAAGGCUCAAAAGUCGAAUCCAGGGGGGUUGAAAUAGACAAGAUUCAGCUCAGAUCCAAAGAAAUAGAAUUCGAUAUUCUAUCAUUUCUUUGUCUUUUCUUUCAUAUUUGAUUUCUUCAUUCCGGAUUUCUCCAUCCCUUCCUAUAUGCCCUUCUAGAACCCGUCUAAGUAAUGUGCGCAGUACAAAGUUCAUGAUGCAGAACUCAUUUGGUUCAUCCUAUUGGUAUGACUCAUCCGAAAUAAGUAUCUUCCAAAUAAAUGUGAGAAUUACAAUGAAUCCCUAAUUGUCUUUUUUUGUUAGCCUAUUGACAAUUCCCUAAAUUAGACCUGCUUAAUCUAGAACAGAACGUGCAAUCCUUGAAUAUCUUAAAUUGUCUAAGUGGAAAUAGCUUUCUUAUCAUUCAAUGAGCAUCUUGUAUUUCAUAAAAAUUGGGGGCAAUAUAAUCCUUACGUAAGGGCCAUCCUAUCCAACUUUCAGGCAUUAAGAUACGUUUCAAGCGUGGAUGAUUAUCAUAAGAGAUUCCCAACAUAUCAUAUGAUUCUCGUUCUUGAAAAUCCACGCUUUUCCAAACCCAGAAAACAGACGGAAUUCUAGGAUUCCUCCUGGAGGCAAAGACUUUUAUGCAUACCUCUUCUGGUUGAUCCACACCAUCCUCUAUUCUCGUAAGAUGAUACACACUAGCUAACAGCCCGCCAGGCGCUACAUCAUAGGCACAUUGAGAGCGGAGAUAAUUGUACCCAUAUACAUAAAAAAUGACAGCAAUGGAAUGCCAAUCCUCGGGCUUUAUUUGUAAAGUCUCUAUUCCUUGGUAAUCAAAGCCCAAAGAUCUAUGAAUUAGCCCAUGCUUGACUAGCCAAGCAGACAAACGACCCUGCAUCUUUUUUAUCUCUCCCGCAUUUUUAUUUGUAUAAGUAUUUCACAUUUACGAUUAAAUUUAUGAAAAUUGACCCACCACUUCUUAUUCUGGACAAAGGAAUCCUGUCUAAUUCACUAAUUCGGGGGAAGAUACUGAAUUUUUGUAUUUGGAAAAGAUUUCCGUAGGGAUCUCUGAAGUAGAUGGUGGUUGAUAAAGAACUCUUUGAUCAUAAUUUCCCGUAUGAAUACUGCGUCGAACAUGAAACUUGUGAUUGGUAGUAAAACACCGAUUCACUCGUUGAGACCUAAUUCGAUCUUCAUAGAGUUCUCGAGAUAUUUUCUUACGAAGUUUUGUUAUAGCAUCUAUAACCGCUUCCGGUUUAGGUGGGCAACCUGGCAAAUAUACAUCUACAGGAAUUAGCUUAUCGACUCCCCGAACAGUACUAUAAGAAUCGGUACUGAACAUCCCGCCUGUAAUUGUACAGGCUCCCAUAGCAAUAACAUAUUUUGGUUCAGGCAUUUGCUCAUAUAAUCUCACUAAAGAGGGGGCCAUUUUCAUUGUUACUGUUCCAGCCGUUAAAAUUAGAUCCGCUUGUCUAGGACUCGAUCUUGGUACUAGUCCAUAACGAUCAAAGUCGAAGCGUGAGCCUAUUAGUGAAGCAAAUUCAAUGAAGCAACAACUGGUACCAUAGAGAAGCGGCCAUAAACUAGAGAGUCUUGACCAAUUUGAAAGAUCAUUUAAUGUAGUUGAAAUAACUGAAUUUGGGGCUGUUCGAUCAAGUAAAGGAAACUGAAUGGAAUUCAUAACUGUCUCAAUCUUAUUUUUUCCGUUUUUCUUUUUAUUGUCUGAAUAUUCAGGAGCUAAGACCAUUCCAAUGCCCCCUUUCGCCAUGCAUAAACUAAACCAAUAAUUAAGAUAAGCACGAAAAUCAAAGCUUCUAUAAAUACAGAUACACCCAAUACGUCGAAACUCAUUGCCCAUGGAUAAAGAAAAACCGUUUCAACAUCAAAAACAACAAAAACUAGAGCAAACAUAUAAUAACGGAUUCGAAAUUGUAACCAAGCAUCACCCAUUGGUUCUAUACCCGACUCAUAAGUAGAAAGUUUCUCCGGCCCUUUGCUAAUCGGGGCUAACACUCCGGAAAUGAAAAAUGCCAAAAUAGGAACAAGGAUGGAUAUUAUUAGAAAUGCCCAAAAAAAAUCAUAUUCGUAAAGCAGAAACAUAAACGCACUCCUAUGAACGUGGAAAAUAUACCGGAUUCGAUUGGUCGAUUCGAAUUGUAAUUGUCAAGCCAUCCAUAACUAUAUUAGUCAAAACAAGAAUUCAUUUUGGUCGAACCGCCUAGUUUGGCUUUGUUUAUUGGUUUAUUGUAGGGCAUAUCUCAUUGCAAGAUUCAUCGACUGGAAUCCGAUUUUAUUUCCAUUAUACUUAUUUCCAUUUUAUUUAGUUAGUAGAACCUUCUAACUAUAUAUUACUCUUAUACAAAUUCUCCUCUUUCUCUUGUUUUUUUCUCUAAACUAAAGACGGGGAAUUCUAAAUUAAUUAAUUAUCUUAGUUCUUCUUUAAUUUUUCUUCUUUAAUUAGAAAUUCUUUAAAUAUUUCUAUUUUUUUCUAUAAAUAGAAUAAAUAGAAUCAGGAGGUCUUUAUUUUAAUUUUUUUUCUUAGUGAUUUAGUGAUCUAGAAUGGAACAAGUAAUCAAAUAGAAGAGAAUGUAUAGGAACUUCCAUCUCAAGAUUUAGAAGAUCUUGUGUUGGUAUAUUCCUUUUAUUAUUUUAUUAUUAUUUAAUAAUAGUAUUAGGAUUCGAAUCCAGGUGGAGGGGUUUUUCUUGGUUGAAUACAGAAAAAGAAGACUACCUUUUUUGUGUUGUGCUUCGCUAGGUCGAGGUAAGUAAGGUAUACGAAGGAAAAGCCUAUUUGAUAAUGAAAGUGACCAAAGAUAUUCGUUUUUCAAAAAACUUUAGCUUGUACACAAAUACAGCAGUCCCUUCCUAAAUCCAUGUGAAUUCCUCUUCGUAGUUUUUCAUUUCACCAGGCCCGUGAAAUGAUUUGACUUCCAAAAUUCAAUAAGAUUGGGGAUAUCAAAAGAAAGGGGGUCUCACUAAUUCUUUUAUUGUGGAUAUGAAUAUGUAAUUCGCCUCCGAAGAUUAAUGACGAAAGGUUGGUUUGUUUAUCUGCAAUUGAAAAAAUAAAUAUCGAUUGGAUCCAUUGAUAUGCGUUUUUUCUUUCAUCUGCUUAAACUUAAACGAUUGCCGUGAGUAAACUUAUAGGAAUAGUUGAAUUUCACUUAGUUACAAGCAAGAAAUAAUAAUGAAGAAAUGAAAAUUAUACAAUUUUAUUUUUUCAUUUUUAUUUUAUUUUAUAGGGCUAUACGGACUUGAACCGUAGACCUUCUCGGUAAAACAGAUCAAACUUAUUAUUAUUAAAAUGAUCUGAACUGUUUCAAAGACCCAACAUGCAUUUUUUUUGCAUUGGGCUCUUUCAUUAACUGAUAUUUAUAGCAGUUAGUCUGCCAUUUUUUUUUCUUGACAGAAAAAAAGAUAAGGAAAUGGCUCCAUGUGCUCUGAUUCAUUAUUUGGGAGCAUUACCAAAGUGUUUCAAAGGUGGGAUUAUCUUGACGUAGGUCUGUCUCUGGCCUAAAUAAACCUAAGUUAAAUGAAGUCUCUAUCGUUUCUGCUUAAAAAAUCAAAUAUGAAACUUCAUACACCUUAAAGUUCAUAUGACGAAAAGAGAUUUUUUUGAGGUCCUUAUACUCUCAUUAUGCCUAGCAUUGAAUAGACUGGGUAUUCACCUUAUCAAGAUCUCAAAUCAAUGAUGGGGUCUGUUUGGCACCUCCUAAAUGGACGUCCAAAUUGGACCGAACCCUUUGUCAGGCUAUGGUUCCCUCAAAGUUAUGGAGUAAGACAUCGAUUUCUCAACAAGAUCGAUUUUUCUGAUUGUAUGAUGAACUCCCUUGAAAAACAUUGGCGCGCGUGUAAACGAGUUGCUCUACCAACUGAGCUAUAGCCCUUAGUGCUUGUGAUACAUAUUUUAUCAUGUAGAUAAAUUCUUGUCAAGAUAAAUAUUCCAUGAUCCAACAUCAACAAUCUUUGAUCUCUUUGAGUGGUAUUCCUUAGAUUAGUAUUGCUUAUUAGAUUAGUAUUGCUUAUAAGUAAUAUGAUAUUUAUAAUCCAUCGACAGGAUGGGUUUCGUUUGGUUCUCUUUGGAAUGAUAAAUGACCUACUUAACUCAGUGGUUAGAGUACUGCUUUCAUACGGCGGGAGUCAUUGGUUCAAAUCCAAUAGUAGGUAAAACUUAUUAGAUACCAGAGUCAAUGGUAUCUAAUAAGGUUUACGACCCACCUUUAGUGAUAUUUAUUUUUUGAUUUUGUAUCUUUUCUAUUUCAUUUUUAAAUUUGAAUUUUUGCAUCAGAAUUGGCUUCUGUUUGAUUGUAUUUGAUUGUAUUCACCCGACAGAAUCUAAAUAGGAUUAGAAAGAGAACUUCUUUUUAUUAUUCGAACGUACUAACUAGUCGUACUAACUAGUUAUGAAAUCGGAUUGAUAGCCUCCACCCGUGUUCUAGCUCGUCGGAGAGCUAGAUUUGCCUCAAUUUUUUGUCUCCUUCCUUCAGCCUUUUUCACAUUAGCCUCCGCUAUUUCAAGAGUUUGCUGAGCUUCUUGUGGAUCAAUGUCACUACCCUUCUCCGCAUCAUUUACUAAAACAGUGAUCUCAUUAUUGCCUAUUCUAGCAAAACCACCCAUCAGAGCCAUCGUUAACCAUUGGUUGUUAAGGCGUAUUCGCAAAAUCCCUAUAUCUACAGCUGUGGCAAUAGGGGCGUGAUUUGGUAAUAUGCCAAUUUGACCACUAUUAGUAGAUAACACGAUUUCUUCCACUUCUGAAUCCCAAACAAUUCGAUUAGGAGUCAGUACACUAAGAUUUAAGGUCAUUUCUUCAAAUUGCUCUCCAUUUCUAAGUUCAUAGCCUUCGCGGUAGCUUCAUCGAUAUUACCUACCAAAUAAAAGGCCUGUUCAGGAAGACCAUCUAAUUCUCCGGAAAGGAUCAAUUGAAAUCCUCGAAUUGUUUCUGCUAGACCAACAUAUUUCCCUGGAGAACCGGUAAAUACUUCUGCUACGAAAAAGGGUUGUGAUAAGAAACGCUCAAUUUUUCGCGCUCUUGCUACGAGUAAACGAUCCUCUUCGGAUAAUUCGUCCAAUCCAAGGAUAGCUAUAAUGUCCUGAAGUUCUUUGUAACGUUGUAAAGUUUGCUUAACUCGUUGGGCGGUUUCGUAAUGUUCCUCACCAACGAUCCGAGGUUGAAGCAUGGUUGACGUUGAAUCUAAAGGAUCUACUGCUGGAUAAAUACCUUUGGCAGCCAAUCCUCUUGAUAGUACGGUAGUAGCAUCUAAAUGUGCAAAUGUCGUAGCAGGAGCAGGGUCGGUCAAAUCGUCUGCGGGUACAUAAACUGCUUGAAUAGAGGUUAUGGACCCUUCUUUGGUAGAAGUAAUUCUUUCUUGUAAAGAACCCAUUUCAGUACUUAGGGUCGGUUGAUAACCCACAGCGGAGGGCAUUCUACCCAAUAAGGCCGAUACUUCGGAUCCUGCUUGGACGAAACGGAAGAUAUUGUCAAUAAAUAGAAGUACGUCUUGCUCAUUAACAUCUCGGAAAUAUUCCGCCAUAGUUAGGGCAGUCAAACCAACUCUCAUACGAGCUCCUGGUGGUUCAUUCAUCUGACCGUAAACUAGGGCCACUUUUGAUUCUGCAAUAUUUUCUUCAUUAAUCACUCCAGAUUCUUUCAUUUCCAUGUAAAGAUCAUUUCCUUCCCGAGUACGUUCACCCACUCCGCCAAAUACGGAUACGCCCCCGUGAGCUUUAGCAAUAUUGUUAAUCAAUUCCAUAAUGAGUACUGUUUUACCCACUCCAGCCCCCCCGAAUAGUCCGAUUUUUCCUCCACGGCGAUAAGGGGCUAAAAGAUCUACUACUUUAAUUCCUGUUUCAAAAAUAGAUAAUUUUGUAUCCAACUGUAUAAAGGCGGGCGCAGAUCUAUGAAUAGGAGACGUUGUACUAGUAUCUACAGGCCCUAAAUUAUCAACAGGCUCUCCGAGCACGUUAAAAAUUCGUCCCAGAGUCGCCCCCCCGACCGGAACACUUAUAGGAGCUCCUGUGUCAAUCACUUCCAUUCCUCUCGUUAAACCGUCUGUAGCACUCAUAGCUACAGCUCUAACUCGAUUAUUUCCUAAUAAUUGCUGUACCUCACAAGCCACAUUAAUUGGUUGAUCAACACUAUCUCGACCUUGAACUACGAGAGCGUUAUAAAUAUUCGGCAUCUUGCCCGGGGGAAAGGCUACAUCUAGUACCGGACCGAUGAUUUGGACGACACGCCCCAGGUUUUUUUUUUCAAGCGUGGAAACCCCAGAACCAGAAGUAGUAGGAUUGAUUCUCAUAAUAAUAAAAUAAAAAUAAAUAAAUAUGUCGAAAUGUUUUUUCAAAAAUUAUCGAAUUCAAAGUAAAUGUCCGCUAGCACGUCGAUCGGUUAAUUCAAUAAAAUGGGAAUUAGCACUCGAUUUCGUUGGCACCAUGCAAUUGAACCAAUUCAAUUGUUUACUUAUUCAAUGAGAUUGAGUUAAUUUGCAAGCUCACCCAACCUAUUUUAAUUUAAAAAUCUCAAGUGGAUGAAUCAGAAUCUUGAGAAAGUCUUUCAUUUGUCUAUCAUUAUAGACAAUCCCAUCCAUAUUAUCUAUUCUAUGGAAUUCGAACCUGAACUUUAUUUUAUAUUUCUAUUACGAUUCACUAUUUGGAUCUAAUGGGCUCCUCUUCUUAUUUUUCUUAUUUAUUUUUUAGUUAAAUUUCAGCAUAUUGAUUUAUGCCUAGCCUAUUCUUUUCUUUGCGUUUUUCUUUCUUUUUUAUACCUUUCAUAGCGGAAUUCCAUAUAUUUUCACAUUUAGGAUUUACAUAUACAACAUAUACCACUGUCAAGGGGGAAGUUCUUAUUAUUUAGUUUAGUUAGGUAUUUCCAUUUCAAAAAAAAAAGGUAAAAAAUAAAAAUUGGGUUGCGCUAUAUAUAUGAAAGAGUAUACAAUAAUGAUGUAUUUGGCAAAUCAAAUACCAUGGUCUAAUAAUCAACCAUUCUGAUUAAUUGAUAAUAUUAGUAUUAGUUGGAAAUUUUCUGAAAGAUUCCUGUGAAAAGUUUCAUUAACGCGUAAUUCGUGUCGAGUAGACCUUGUUGUUGUGAGAAUUCUUAAUUCAUGAGUUGUAGGGAGGGAUUUAUGUCACCACAAACAGAGACUAAAGCAAGUGUUGGAUUCAAAGCUGGUGUUAAAGAGUACAAAUUGACUUAUUAUACUCCUGAGUACCAAACCAAGGAUACUGAUAUAUUGGCAGCAUUCCGAGUAACUCCUCAACCUGGAGUUCCACCUGAAGAAGCAGGGGCCGCGGUAGCUGCC
rnacentral:lncRNA from 1 species